CUUGACAUCCAGCGAACUUGGCAGAGAUGCCUUGGUGCCUUCGGGAACGCUGAGACAGGUGCUGCAUGGCUGUCGUCAGCUCGUGUUGUGAAAUGUUGGGUUAAGUCCGCAACGAGCGCAACCCUUAUCCUUUGUUGCCAGCGAUUCGGUCGGGAACUCAAAGGAGACUGCCGGUGAUAAACCGGAGGAAGGUGGGGAUGACGUCAAGUCAUCAUGGCCCUUACGAGUAGGGCUACACACGUGCUACAAUGGCGCAUACAAAGAGAAGCGACCUCGCGAGAACAAGCGGACCUCAUAAAGUGCGUCGUAGUCCGGAUCGGAGUCUGCAACUCGACUCCGUGAAGUCGGAAUCGCUAGUAAUCGUGGAUCAGAAUGCCACGGUGAAUACGUUCCCGGGCCUUGUACACACCGCCCGUCACACCAUGGGAGUGGGUUGCAAAAGAAGUAGGUAGCUUAACCUUCGGGAGGGCGCUUACCACUUUGUGAUUCAUGACUGGGGUGAAGUCGUAACAAGGUAAGCGUAGCGAG
rnacentral:rRNA from 1 species